AUGGGCAAAUCUUCUGAAAAUUACAAAACCCCUAAGGAGGUGGUGGUGGUAAGUUCACAGGCUGCCCAGUGACCUACUCUGCUAUGGAAGUACUUUAUGGAGGACAACUGUAUCAC
rnacentral:lncRNA from 1 species